AGCAGCCGCGGUAAUUCCAGCUCCAAUAGCGUAUAUCAAAGUUGUUGCAGUUAAAAAGCUCGUAGUUGAAUUUCGAGAUCGGUUUAUUGGUCGUGCUAUUGUACGUACUGGUAUUACCGGUUUCUCCUUUCUGACGAACCUUAAUGCCAUUAAUUUGGUGUUUUGGGAAAUCAGGACUGUUACUUUGAAAAAAUUAGAGUGUUUAAAGCAGGCUCACGCUUGAAUGCAUUAGCAUGGAAUAACGGAAUAGGACGUUUGAUUCUAUUUUGUUGGUUUCUAGGAUCGACGUAAUGAUUAAUAGGGAUAGUUGGGGGCAUUAGUAUUCAAUUGUCAGAGGUGAAAUUCUUGGAUUUAUUGAAGACUAACUACUGCGAAAGCAUUUGCCAAGGAUGUUUUCAUUAAUCAAGAACGAAAGUUAGGGGAUCGAAGACGAUCAGAUACCGUCGUAGUCUUAACCAUAAACUAUGCCGACUAGGGAUCGGAUGAUGUUAUUUUAUGACUCAUUCGGCGCCUUACGGGA
rnacentral:rRNA from 1 species